ACCUCCCGUGUGCGCGCCCUCACCGGCGGGCACACGCACGGUGAGGCGCGAGAGGGAGGAGGAGGACGACGGGGAGGAGGUAGGCGCUCGCGCAGUCCUGCUCUACCCCCGUGAUGCGUUCACUUGCUGUCGGAAACGGUGGAUCCCUGUCAAAUAUAACACUUUAUGGUCGGUUUAGUGGGAACUUAAAGCAAAAAUGAUUAGAUUCAUCUAUUUUUUCUUUAACUUAUUUACUUUUUGGGGUCAAACUACUAACACCUGUUUGCAUUUGAUAAAAAAAAUCACACACCUCAUAAAUAAAAUACGUUUUUCAAGUUCAGACGCAAAAUACUUUAAAGAGAUAUUCUGGCGUAAAAAUUAAAUUAGGGUCAAACACACCGUAACACCGAGUUAGAUUCCCCAUUGAGAGAUUAAUAUUGCCAACUGCCUGCUUCUCUAGUUUAACAAACUUUGGUAACGACCUCAGAUAGCAAUACAGAGAACCAUGCGCUCAACCAAAACGCCACUCUAUAGCCACAAAUAAUGUUCAGAACAGCACCUAACUUCAUCAACAGUACAUAUAGGGUCCCAAAGUUAAAAAGAUGUUUGGUGGCUGGUGCUAUGGCUGGGACCCUAUAUGUACUGUUGAUGAAGUUAGGUGCUGUUCUGAGCAUUAUUUGUGACUAUAGAGUGGCGGUUUGGUUGAGGCUUGUUUAUGGCUCCUCAGACCGCUGUGUAUUGCUACUGUGCGGUCAUUACUAAAGUUGGUAUAACUAGAGAAGCAAGCGGCCUGCAACAUUUAUCUCUCGAGGGGGUGUCUAACUUGGUGUUACAGUGUGUUUGACCAUAAGUUAAUUUUACGCUUGAAUAUCCCUUUAAAUUGAAAUCAAUAGCUUACAGAGUUAAAUGGCAAUGUCAAAUCAGUUUAUUCAUUUCUAUGACUUUUAACCCUUGAUUUCCUGAGAUAGAUGUUUGAAAAAAUUAAGUGAAGUUGCCACACAUUCUUUGAUUUUCAAUAACACAAAAGUGCCAUUUAAUUAUAGAAUAUGCUCACUUUGAUAAAGACUUGAAAUUGCCAAUUUAGUUAAAGCUAAUACACCAUCCAAUCAAUUUAAGGUGACUUGCAAGUGACAAUAGUUUUGGUGACCUCAUGUCUUAAGAACUACAGCCAGUGAGGAAGUGCUAAAAAGUGCAGUUCCUCUGGUGUCCACUAGAAGCUAGCUCCAAAAGUCAAGAAGCUAAACACACACUCAUUCUGAAAAGCCCAUUUUAAUAUGAAAAUAAACAUAAUUACAGAAAAUGAAUAAAGUAAAGGCAUUUGGUGGCCAAGACUUGUCUUUGAGAAACUAUAAACUGCAGAAGAGUUCAGUUGUUUUUCUUUUUUAUAACUUCACAAGGGUGAGUAGGUCAGAAACAAUAUUGUUUCUCAAUCCACAGGACAAGGAACAGUGUUUCUAAUUAUGGGUCACUUGGAUCAGUGGUUCUCAAAUGCGCUUUGCUGAGAUGCCUUCCAAGAGAAUAAAAUGAUUUAAUUCAGGUUGCAGUUUUUAUUCAAUGUGUUGAAAAUAUUUACAAAACUAGAAAAUGUAUCUUUAGAUAAAUGAAAAUAAAUAUUGGGGUAUACUUUUUUGUUGCCACGUGACCGAUGACAAGAUCAGAGCAGAUUAAUGACAGCAACAGGUGCACAUCAGCGAGUAUUUUGCAGACCAACAAAAUGAAGCACCCUUGGCUUUGCAUGGGCAUGAAACUCAAAGACACACACAGGCUCACCUGUGGGUUUGAUUAUUAAUAUUGUAUGAUAGUAACUAUCAAAUAUAGUCAGUCUUUUUUUGUUGUUGUUUUUGCUUUAUUGUCCAUUUUAGUGUGCAACUGUGGGCAAUAUUUUACCACCUUAAGGGCCAACACAGUAGGGCUCACCUGUCCCUGGAACUGUCAUUUUGGGAUUGUAGGUUAACUCAGUUGACUAGUAGACUAGAAAAAAACAAUUUUCGAUGUUUGUUUACCUGUUUAUUCACAUCUUUAUUUUCCAUUGUGAUAUGUCUUGUACUCUAAGUUCAGUAUUUGGUUGUUCAGUCAAAAUAAAAUCAUGCAUAGCAUUUUUAAUUGUGGACGUGAGAGUUGGCUGUUGAGUUUAAAAUCAUAAAUGAUAUUUCUGAUGGAGCAUAAACACAGAUCAGAGGUCCACAACCUUGCAAACACUAGACUCCAUCUUAAUGACUAAAAACUAAUUGAAAUAGAAUUUAAAAAUAAUGAAUUGCAUUUUAAACAAAUGAGUUAGAACUUAUUGACCCUAUAUAAUAACUGGGUUAUAUCUCUAUGUGUGUUUUUCAGCUCUAAAGAAAGCUCUUACUGUUGUAGCUUUACUUCAGGCACUGAGGCUUUGUCGGGGCCGUCAUUAACAAGAAGGUUAUUGAUUCUUUUCUGUGAUAUUUAAUGCAGACUUCGAUAUGGUUUGUGGCUGCACCUUGAACUCAGCACACACCGCCUCAUUUGCAAACCAUCACAUCUGCUGAGACCAAUCGAUUACCUUGGUGAUGAUGGACAGUAACAGUGAAAUGCAGGAACAAUGGAUGCAUUAUUAAAUUAAACGACACAGAUUUGAGAUUACAGUUUGUAUGAGCAUCGACUAAUAAGCCUCUUUCCAUACUGGAGCAGUGUUUAUUAAUUUCCUGCAAACACUGACCUGAAAUAUUCCUCUAUGAGAUCACAGAUGUGUGUGAAAGCCGUGCCAGACUCUAGAAGGUGUUGUAAAAAAUCCAUGAUUAGAAGACAACAUGGCUCCUUUGGGUUCAAACGUAAACAAUACUAAUGAGUACCUGUGGGAGUCCUUCACACAACCUGAAAUGGGGCAGCACAGUUUCCAAACUGAGGAAACUCUGCAACUUUGAGGACUCGGUGCGGAAACAGCUUCCUCAUCAUCAAGGUUUCGAUCCUUUAUUAAAGUCACUAUAUCAUAUAUUAAGCUCAGGAGAGAGGGUGGUAUUGAUAGUGCUGCAAAUAUGUGGAAAACUUUGCUGAACAAACCUUUUUCAUCAAUUACAUUGCUGAGUUUUUUCUUCAUACUUCGUUUUGUAGUUUGGUGGAUUCCUGUUGAUAUGAGUUCCCAUUUUUGCAACAGCUGUCAAGCACCAGGUAUUUUGCACCAGGGUUGUGUCCAGACUUUUUUUGUUAAAUGAGGUGGUCCAGUUGGGGCAUUAACUCAUGCAACAUAAUCAACUCUUGUAGGAAUCAACAUUGUUUCUUUUCCCUUUCUAUCUCAAGUAAUCACAUCCACCCUAAAGCUCCUGAAGAACUUCUGGUGUUUCUCAACUUUGGCGCCUCCUGUGGACAAAGAAGUCUUUGCUUAUCUUGUUCUCUACAUAAUGAAAAAGGGGAACUUCAGUAUUUUUCAACCUGGGUUCUAUUUUCCCAUGUGUUUGUGUGCCUGACUGAUGGGGAGAACAGUUUCUCAAAUUGAUUCAGUAUUGAGGUAGAAAGAAGCAGCUGGCAGCCAUAAACACAAGAUAAAACUAAAAGUGCUUUAUUUCACCUCUGACAUAGUUUCCCUUGAGCUGCUCUGUGUACAACCAAAUUUCGUCGCUGGAAAAGUGUCGUUCUGACAUCAUGCGAGAUCUCACUUCUUGCAGGAAGACAUCGAAGGACAAAUCAGUGAGUGACAUCAGUAGAGUUAAGGCUCAUUUAUGCUCAACGUUACAUAUGGAUCCAGAUACGGAUGGAGCUCUCCGUCCGUGCUUUGCGUUCUUUUCAUCCGUAUUUCUGUACGUAUCCUUGAAGUUUACGGAUACGGGCCAGACGGAGCAAUACCACUGGAAACUGUUGGGGCAGUGUUGCUGCUGGAGAGAAACGAUGAAGACAAUAGCGGCGGACAUCCUGAAGUACUGAAAAUGGUGAUCGAUUUCUUCACUGAUACAACUAGAGAAAAGAAUUCUCCGUCCUCCAACUGCAAGGCCAUGUUUCUUUUUUUUUGUUGUUGUCACAAACUUUUGACUCCGGCCUGCCCCCUGGUGGAUGUAAUGGUUAACAUCCAUGCCAACGUAAAGGACCCACAGAAAAUUUUGCGGGCAGUGACGGAACUAUUGUUUGAAACGGACGCGUACAUUUUCAUACGCAUGGCGAGCAGGAAUGGGCCUUGAGAGAACACCAGGACUGGACUAUUUAUAUGAGUCAGAAGAGCUCCUACAAGCUGAUGAGCAAACGACGAGAGAGAGGGUCAACAGGCAGAGAGGAGGGCGAACCAGCUUCUGCAAGACCACGAAGCUUAGGAGACCAGUGGUGUUCCUGCUCCCUCUUUAUGAUAUUAAUGACUGAACCACGGUAGCUGUACGUCAUUUUCCAGUCCAACAGAAUAGGUCCAUCUAUUAGUCCUUCAAUAGUUCAUGAUGCAUCAUAUCUGGAGCAGAUCCACAGCUGUACUCCACGUGUGUAUCACAUAUGCAGAGGAGAAUAAAACGCAGCUUUGAACUGCAGUGUGGACACCGCUGUUCAUGAUGACGGAGCUAAAAUUAACUUUUCAUGAGCUGAUAUUGAUGCUUCAUGGUUUAUAACAGUACAGUUGUCAUACACGGUGUGCAGCUCCAUUUUCCUACAACUGCUAAGAGCUUAAUCUUGGGAAAAUUAUGUUGAGUAUGAGCUUCAGUCUCAUUGAUUGUCUUCCGGGUUUAUGCUGCGUUAGCGUCUUCAGUGCAACGAUUUCUGAAAGUUGUGUGCAAAGCUUUAACUGCUGCUGUCUUUGUGAUAGAUGAAACCCAAUAACAGCAAGACGCAGACAACUCUGGGGUCAAAGAGGAGGCUAAAAGUGGUCUAUAUCACCUCAAAGGAUGUCUCUCGUACAUUUAACAGCUUUAUUUGAGAGUCAAGUGCUGGAAAGUCAGAGUGCAAAGGAAACUCUCAUCUCUGCUUUUGAAUAAAUAAGAGAGGUUUGACAACUCUCUGGAUGAAACAAUCAGCAUUGAAAUAUGGAUCAAGCUGAAACAGGACAUUGAAAUUCUGGAUAAUGGCUCAAAUGCUGCUUCUUUCUCCCUUUGCAAAGUGACCACUGCACAAGUUUGAUAUUGGACUCUGACACAGAUAACAGUUUCUUAGGAGAAACCUGCUCCAAAUGCUCAAAGAGUGCAAACUCACAACUGUCAGAUAAAGCGCCCUACAGGCCCGUAGCGCUCUGGUUAAAAAUCCUGAUUUGCAGCAUUUACUGUCGGCGCGUGUUUUAUGAUCUUGUGUUUUUUUUUUUGCUUUGCAUCGUCUGUGUAUUUUCAGAGCAGCUGUUUCAGCUUUUUGCUUUAGCACUUUUCUGCUGUUGUUUUUGUUUUGGACUUUGCAUGUGGUUUUGACUUUGCAUAAUCUGAGUGUUUGUAUCUCUUUCAGUGCGUUGCGGAUCACCAGUCCUUGUCAACAACUGUAGAAAACACUGUAAACUUGCUCACUCUGAUAUGAAAAUGUACCUGGUUCAGUAGUUUACAACUAUACAUCCACAAUAGUUCACUGUAACAUGAUUUUUUUUUUUUAAAUUUUCAAGUUUGUUUUUUGGGUAGGGGGGUGGGUGCGAUGACAGCCUCUGUACGCGGAGCAUUUGCUUCAACCACCAGGCCAGUGACACCUUAGUCAUGUGAAAGUCCUGAGUGCUGCAUCAGACCUUUGCUGAUCAAAUUGGAAAACAACAUCAGAUAUUUGGAGUGAAAC
rnacentral:lncRNA from 1 species